rnacentral:rRNA from 1 species
AUGAUGGACCAAGGAGAACCAGGCAAAGAUCUGCCGAUAUUGGAGCAGACGAGGGGAGAGCUCCAAGGAGAUGGAGGCAACCACCAAGCCGACCCCAGGUACGUCGCGACCACUAUUGAGAUGGUCAACGCCCCGUUUGAGGUUACAGCCCCCGUGGCACUGCAGGAGCAGUUUUCCCCCUUUGAGGAUGCGUCCCCCCCUGCUGAGCUGCCCAAGGUGAUUUCCUUCUUUGCCGAUCUCGAUUGUGGUUUUUCAUCUAAGUAUGUGGUGAUUUUUUUUAGAAAAGGAAGUAUGUGGUGA